AAGACCUUGCGCUUUUGGAGCGGCCGAUGUCUGAUUAGCUUGUUGGUGAGGUAAAAGCUUACCAAGGCUUCGAUCAGUAGCUGGUCUGAGAGGACGGCCAGCCACACUGGGACUGAGACACGGCCCAGACUCCUACGGGAGGCAGCAGUGGGGAAUUUUGGACAAUGGGGGCAACCCUGAUCCAGCCAUGCCGCGUGAGUGAAGAAGGCCUUCGGGUUGUAAAGCUCUUUCAGCCGGAACGAAACGGUUACGGUUAAUACCCGUGACUACUGACGGUACCGGAAGAAGAGGCACCGGCUAACUACGUGCCAGCAGCCGCGGUAAUACGUAGGGUGCAAGCGUUAAUCGGAAUUACUGGGCGUAAAGCGUGCGCAGGUGGUUUUGUAAGUCAGAUGUGAAAUCCCCGGGCUUAACCUGGGAACU
rnacentral:rRNA from 1 species